CUCGCGCGCCCACGACCGCGACCCCAGGUCAG
rnacentral:rRNA from 1 species